rnacentral:rRNA from 1 species
CUUCGGCUAUAAGCGAUUUAUUCGCAUAAUGUUCCAUGUAGAAUAUAGAUAAUGACUACUUUCUAUGUGAAAGUCUUGACUAAAACACGUGCCAGCAGUCGCGGCAACACGGGACAGACAAGUGUUAUUCAUCUUUAAUAGGUUUAAAGGGUACUUAGACGGCAAUUUUGGCCCCCACUGAGUAGGGAUGGUACCUUAUUGCUAGAGUUUUAUGUGAGAGGAAUUUAGUACUAACAGAGUAGAGAUGAAAUUUUUUGAUACUGUAGGGCACUGGUAACGGCGAAGGCAGGCCUUUAUGUAAAAACUGACGUUGAGGGACGAAGGCUUGGGUAACAAACAGGAUUAGGUACCCUAAUAGUCCAGGCAGAGAAUGAUGAGUGCCAUAGGUUAGAGUUAUUUGACCUAUAAAUGAAAGUGAAAGCAUUCCACCUUAAGAGUAAUGCGGCAACGCAGGAACUGAAAUCAUUAGACCGUUUCUGAUACCAGUAGUGAAGUAUGUUGUUUAAUUCGAUAACCCACGAAAAAUCUUACCACAAUUUGAAUGUUAUAGCAACUAAAAGAAAAGUCUUUUAAUAAUUUAUUAUUGAAACGAUGUAAUUGCUAUUAAUACAGGUGUUGCAUGGCUGUCUUCAGUUGAUGUCGUGAGACGCGGGUUAGCUCCCGGAAUAAUCAACGUGAACCUAUAUUUUAUUUUCAUUGAUAACAUCAAUAACAUAGAGUAGCUUUGUCCUAAACCCAAAAAGGUCGGACAAAUAAUAGGGACUAAGACAAGUCCUCAUGGCCCGAACAUUGUGGGCUAUAGACGUGCCACAUAUACCAAGACAAAGGGGUGCAAAGAU